rnacentral:tRNA from 1 species
GCCCGGGUGGUCUAGUGGUAUGAUCCUCGCUUAGGGUGCGAGAGGUCCCGCGUUCGAUCCGCGGCUCGGGCC